UAAGUACUCCCUUCGUUCCAAAAUAAAUGACUCAAAAGUGACUCAAUUUUAUACUAAAGUUAGUGUAAAGUUGAGUCAUAUUUGGGUCACUUAUUUUGGGACGGAGGGAGUAUUUC
rfam:Hordeum vulgare subsp. vulgare, WGS project CAJW01000000 data, contig: morex_contig_2549258